rnacentral:rRNA from 1 species
UGCAGUCGAGCGAACAGACAAGGAGCUUGCUCCUUUGACGUUAGCGGCGGACGGGUGAGUAACACGUGGGUAACCUACCUAUAAGACUGGGAUAACUUCGGGAAACCGGAGCUAAUACCGGAUAAUAUUUCGAACCGCAUGGUUCGAUAGUGAAAGAUGGUUUUGCUAUCACUUAUAGAUGGACCCGCGCCGUAUUAGCUAGUUGGUAAGGUAACGGCUUACCAAGGCGACGAUACGUAGCCGACCUGAGAGGGUGAUCGGCCACACUGGAACUGAGACACGGUCCAGACUCCUACGGGAGGCAGCAGUAGGGAAUCUUCCGCAAUGGGCGAAAGCCUGACGGAGCAACGCCGCGUGAGUGAUGAAGGUCUUCGGAUCGUAAAACUCUGUUAUUAGGGAAGAACAUACGUGUAAGUAACUAUGCACGUCUUGACGGUACCUAAUCAGAAAGCCACGGCUAACUACGUGCCAGCAGCCGCGGUAAUACGUAGGUGGCAAGCGUUAUCCGGAAUUAUUGGGCGUAAAGCGCGCGUAGGCGGUUUUUUAAGUCUGAUGUGAAAGCCCACGGCUCAACCGUGGAGGGUCAUUGGAAACUGGAAAACUUGAGUGCAGAAGAGGAAAGUGGAAUUCCAUGUGUAGCGGUGAAAUGCGCAGAGAUAUGGAGGAACACCAGUGGCGAAGGCGACUUUCUGGUCUGUAACUGACGCUGAUGUGCGAAAGCGUGGGGAUCAAACAGGAUUAGAUACCCUGGUAGUCCACGCCGUAAACGAUGAGUGCUAAGUGUUAGGGGGUUUCCGCCCCUUAGUGCUGCAGCUAACGCAUUAAGCACUCCGCCUGGGGAGUACGACCGCAAGGUUGAAACUCAAAGGAAUUGACGGGGACCCGCACAAGCGGUGGAGCAUGUGGUUUAAUUCGAAGCAACGCGAAGAACCUUACCAAAUCUUGACAUCCUUUGACAACUCUAGAGAUAGAGCCUUCCCCUUCGGGGGACAAAGUGACAGGUGGUGCAUGGUUGUCGUCAGCUCGUGUCGUGAGAUGUUGGGUUAAGUCCCGCAACGAGCGCAACCCUUAAGCUUAKUUGCCAUCAUUAAGUUGGGCACUCUAAGUUGACUGCCGGUGACAAACCGGAGGAAGGUGGGGAUGACGUCAAAUCAUCAUGCCCCUUAUGAUUUGGGCUACACACGUGCUACAAUGGACAAUACAAAGGGCAGCGAAACCGCGAGGUCAAGCAAAUCCCAUAAAGUUGUUCUCAGUUCGGAUUGUAGUCUGCAACUCGACUACAUGAAGCUGGAAUCGCUAGUAAUCGUAGAUCAGCAUGCUACGGUGAAUACGUUCCCGGGUCUUGUACACACCGCCCGUCACACCACGAGAGUUUGUAACACCCGAAGCCGGUGGAGUAACCAUUGGAGCUAGCCGUCGAAGGUGAAC